UACAGAGGUCUCAAGCGUUUGUUCGGAUUCAUUGGGCGUAAAGGGUGCGUAGGCGGCGAGGCAAGUCUGGUGUGAAAUCCCGGGGCUCAACCCCGGAACUGCACUGGAUACUGCUUUGCUAGAGUACUGGAGAGGGAACUGGAAUUUACGGUGUAGCAGUGAAAUGCGUAGAUAUCGUAAGGAAGACCAGCGGCGAAGGCGAGUUCCUGGACAGUUACUGACGCUGAGGCACGAAGGCCAGGGGAGCAAACGGG
rnacentral:rRNA from 1 species